GAUGAAGAACGUAGUGAAAUGCGAUAAGUAGUGUGAAUUGCAGAAUUCAGUGAAUCAUCGAAUCUUUGAACGCACAUUGCGCCCCUUGGUAUUCCAUGGGGCAUGCCUGUUCGAGCGUCAUUUGUACCUUCAAGCUCUGCUUGGUGUUGGGUGUUUGUCUCGCCUCUGCGUGUAGACUCGCCUCAAAACAAUUGGCAGCCGGCGUAUUGAUUUCGGAGCGCAGUACAUCUCGCGCUUUGCACUCAUAACGACGACGUCCAAAAGUACAUUUUUACACUCUUGACCUCGGAUCAGGUAGGGAUACCCGCUGAACUUAAGCAUAUCAAUAAGCGGAGGAA
rnacentral:misc_RNA from 1 species